CCUACGGGAGGCAGCAGUGAGGAAUAUUGGUCAAUGGACGAGAGUCUGAACCAGCCAAGUAGCGUGAGGGAUGACGGUCCUAUGGAUUGUAAACCUCUUUUGUCAGGGAGCAAAGGGCGCCACGUGUCGCGGUUUGCGAGUACCUGAAGAAAAAGCAUCUGCUAACUCCGUGCCAGCAGCCGCGGUAAUACGGAGGAUGCGAGCGUUAUCCGGAUUUAUUGGGUUUAAAGGGUGCGCAGGCGGAAGGUCAAGUCAGCGGUAAAAUUCCGGGGCUCAACCCCGUCGUGCCGUUGAAACUGGCGUUCUUGAGUGAGCGAGAAGUAUGCGGAAUGCGCGGUGUAGCGGUGAAAUGCUUAGAUAUCACGCAGAACCCCGAUUGCGAAGGCAGCAUACCGGCGCUAAACUGACGCUCAUGCACGAAAGCGUGGGUAUCGAACAGGAGUAGAUACCCUUGUAGUC
rnacentral:rRNA from 1 species